UACAGAGGUGGCAAGCGUUGUUCGGAAUUACUGGGCGUAAAGGGCGCGUAGGCGGCCCUUCUAAGUCAGACGUGAAAUCCCCCGGCUUAACCUGGGAACUGCGUCUGAUACUGGGAGGCUUGAGUAUGGGAGAGGGAUGUAGAAUUCCAGGUGUAGCGGUGAAAUGCGUAGAUAUCUGGAGGAAUACCGGUGGCGAAGGCGGCAUCCUGGACCAUAACUGACGCUGAGGCGCGAAAGCUAGGGGAGCAAACGGG
rnacentral:rRNA from 1 species